UUGAUCCGAUCCAGGUAGAAGAUGACAACAAGUGCUGCAGGAUUUUCCUUGAAAUAAGGACACGCGUGGCCGCAGUGGAAACGGAGCUGCUGCACAGAAAAAGAGAGAUGUGAGAACGCGAGUGUAUAUAGAAAACUGGACAAAAAGAAAACAAAGAAGCAUCAUCACAGGAGGCCAUCCACGAAGUGUUCAGGGAUUCUUUCGAGGGUUGGACGUUACCUUGGUUCAUCCCGGUUUUUCAUAAAAUAAGCUCGACGAGGGCGCAAUGUUUUUUUUUUCUCCUUCUUCGUUGUUUACCUCUGAUCGUUUGCUUGUUCUUCUAAUGAACGCCUUUCCAGUUUGAACGAUAUAUUCCUUCUGUAGCUUAGCUUUGUGAUCGUCAAAGAAAAAAUGCUCCUUGCCUGGAAAGAUCGGUGAUCACAGCCAAGCUUUUGUGUACGUCAAAGAAAAAUCCUCCUGGAAAGAUCGGUGAUCAGAGCCAAUUUUUGUGUACCCGUGGAUAGACAUCAAAGAAAAAAUGCUCCUUGCCUGGAAAUGAAAAAAUGCUCCUCCUGGAAAGAUCGGUGAUGCUCGUCAUUCAUGCAAAUCAUCGAGUAGCCGUAGCGAAGCAAACUGGAUCCACGAUCGCGGCAAAAUAUUUCCAAAUCCGGCGAGAAAUCUUUCCAUCGUCGCUUCCUCGCAUCAAGAAAAAAGCCAGAGAUCAUAGAAUCACCUUUAAAACCUCCAGACGAAUGGAAAAUCUCCAUCGCCAAGCCAGA
rnacentral:lncRNA from 1 species